rnacentral:rRNA from 1 species
UACGUAGGGUGCGAGCGUUAAUCGGAAUUACUGGGCGUAAAGCGUGCGCAGGCGGUUCGUUAAGUCAGCUGUGAAAGCCCCGGGCUCAACCUGGGAAUGGCGGUUGAAACUGGCGAACUUGAAUCUGGCAGAGGGGGGUGGAAUUCCACGUGUAGCAGUGAAAUGCGUAGAGAUGUGGAGGAACACCGAUGGCGAAGGCAGCCCUCUGGGCUGAGAUUGACGCUCAGGCACGAAAGCGUGGGGAGCAAACAGG